rnacentral:rRNA from 1 species
AAACCAACAGGGAUUGCCUUAGUAGCGGCGAGUGAAGCGGCAAAAGCUCAAAUUUGAAAUCUGGCGCCUUCGGUGUCCGAGUUGUAAUUUGAAGAUUGUAACCUUGGGGUUGGCUCUUGUCUAUGUUUCUUGGAACAGGACGUCACAGAGGGUGAGAAUCCCGUGCGAUGAGAUGCCCAAUUCUAUGUAAGGUGCUUUCGAAGAGUCGAGUUGUUUGGGAAUGCAGCUCUAAGUGGGUGGUAAAUUCCAUCUAAAGCUAAAUAUUGGCGAGAGACCGAUAGCGAACAAGUACAGUGAUGGAAAGAUGAAAAGAACUUUGAAAAGAGAGUGAAAAAGUACGUGAAAUUGUUGAAAGGGAAGGGUUUGAG